rnacentral:rRNA from 1 species
CCUACGGGUGGCAGCAGUGAGGAAUAUUGGUCAAUGGCCGCAAGGCUGAACCAGCCAAGUCGCGUGAGGGAUGACGGUCCUAUGGAUUGUAAACCUCUUUUGUAAGGGAGUAAAGGGCGGCACGUGUAGCGUUUUGGAAGUAACUGAAGAAAAAGCAUCGGCUAACUCCGUGCCAGCAGCCGCGGUAAUACGGAGGAUGCGAGCGUUAUCCGGAUUUAUUGGGUUUAAAGGGUGCGGAGGCGGCCAUUUGAGUCAGCGGGGAAAUUUAGGGGCUCAACCCCCUGAUUGACGUUGAACCUGGGGUGCUUGAGUGUGUGAGAGGUAGGCGGAAUGCGUGGUGUAGCGGUGAAAUGCAUAGAUAUCACGCAGAACUCCGAUUGCGAAGGCAGCCUACC